UCGAUUCCCUUAGUAGCGGCGAGCGAAACGGGAAGAGCCCAAACCAACAAGCUUGCUUGUUGGGGUUGUAGGACACUCUAUACGGAGUUACAAAGGACGACAUUAGACGAAUCAUCUGGAAAGAUGAAUCAAAGAAGGUAAUAAUCCUGUAGUCGAAAAUGUUGUCUCUCUUGAGUGGAUCCUGAGUACGACGGAGCACGUGAAAUUCCGUCGGAAUCUGGGAGGACCAUCUCCUAAGGCUAAAUACUCUCUAGUGACCGAUAGUGAACCAGUACCGUGAGGGAAAGGUGAAAAGCACCCCGGAAGGGGAGUGAAAUAGAACCUGAAACCGUGUGCUUACAAGUAGUCAGAGCCCGUUAAUGGGUG
rnacentral:rRNA from 1 species